CGAAAAGUGGUUUGAGGCUUGGUUUAAGGUGAACCAAAGGUUCGUACGAUUUGGACUGUCGAAGUUCGUAUUAAUUACUGACUUGAAGUGUGGUCCAGUGCCUAAAGGUACCGAAGUUGACAAAAUCCUAGAAAAAACCUGUCUACAAGAUAGAAUAUUUGCUAAUAUGGACUGGAUAACUUUUAGCAACUUGGAGAAUGUUUUUUUGAAAUGUGUCAACUGUAACGAUCGUUACAAGCUUGGGUUGACACUAAUUAUUGGAGGAUAUUUAAUUUAAGAGAUUGAAAUGUAAGAAUACAUCCGACAGCUCUCUCUAUCAUUGAUGACUUGGAUUUUUUCAAUGCCUAUCCAUGGAGGAGGGUAUGUUUUCAACUUCUCAUCAAAUCACUGCUACGUGGAUGGGGAAGAAAGGCGGACAUGGAAAAAGUGAACGAUUGUGAUAGGAUGACUUAUACGUUGUACGAAUUUCCUCUUGCCAUCUAGGUAUUCAUCUAUUUUGGUUUAUUUCAGUUCUUUUCAUCGCACAUUGUUAUUUACCUCCAAAUAUGGUUAUUACUGUUAUAAAUGUCAUGCAGAUUUGGGCGUACGAGGCAAUCUUAGAGUUGGGAGCUCAAUUAUCGAGUAAGACUUAUGACAAUGUCUUGAGGAUGUUGUGGUGGUCUGGCACGAAACAACCUCAUUCCUGAACAUAUUCAGAUUUUUUUUAGAAGACAGAUGUAAGCGAUUUACAUACGUAAUUGCCUUACACUUUCGCAAUAUAAAAUAUUUUAUUUCGCCUAUUUUUCCUUCCCCUGUAGGUGCACUUGUGGGUAACGCUGCGCACAAUUGUUGCAGAAGAAUUGCAGCUGUACUUCGUCGAUCUAGUUCUGUUGGAAGAUGCAGCUGACCCCGUUCUAGAUGAUCUUGUUGCUCAAUCAAUAAAAAUACAAGAUUGUCCAGCUGAAGAUGAUGUCAUACGGAAUGAUGACAACAACCAUCGACCAAAUAAAUCCUAGAGAGACAACAAAGAUGGACCAUGUCAUCGAGGUUUGCAUCACGUUGAAGGCAGAGAAGAAGAGCAUGGGGAUCCGAUCAUCGAAAGAACUGUGCCUUUAGAUGAGAUAAGAGCUAUCUUGAAUGAACAAUAGGAGACAGUUGAGAGCAAGAUGGGUAAUUUGAGGGAAGAGAUGAACACAAGAUUCACUAGUUUCCAAAAUGAUAUGGGAGGUCAUGUGUGUGGUUUGAGAAAUCAUGUCACUGAUGAGAUCAAUGUGCUUCGACGAAGGUUUGAUGAAGUUGCUACAGAAAUUGGGCAACACAAUGUUGCUGAUGAGUAUGGUGGAUUUGGUCUUGACGAUCGCGGUGGAGACGAGCCCCGACGUAAUGUUUUAACUCCCAAUAUUUCUGCAGAUAAAAGGAUGUCGGAGAGACAACCAAACUAGUUGUUUGCAAUAUCUCUGAUGUGUCCAUAACGUUGGGAGGUGAGGUUGGAGUACUUAGGUGAGUAUACGUUGCUUGUGAUAUUGUGAAAGAGGUACCAGCCAUUAUACCUACAGUUGGUGUGACCGUUGAUGAUCAGCUGAUUCAUGACAGCGUCGUUAUUGGACCUUUGAUGGUAGCUGAUCCACCUAGACAUAGACCUCGAUCGUUGAGGCUGAAGAAGGCUAGUGCUAACAGAAAGAUGCCAUACACCCGAUCUGGUCGCAAGAGGGAUAAGAGGGAUGCGUAGUCUGUGUAUUUUGGUUGACGGCACAUAAUGGUGAUUGCAUAUGAACUUCAGGUUGAUUUGAAUUUAGAGGUUCGCAUAUUUUGGUUUAUAUGGUGGUUUUGCAAUGUGUAUUUUGAUUUAUGUCGUGAUACGUAAUAUGUAUUUUGGUUUACAUAGUGGUUUGGAUAUUUUUGUUUAUAUGGUGGUAUGUAAUAUUUUGUGGAUGCAAACUUGUGGUUUAUAUGUUAAUGGCAUGUUCGGAAGGUUGUAUGUUGAAAACAGUUUAUAACUUUAUUAUCU
rnacentral:lncRNA from 1 species